rnacentral:rRNA from 1 species
GAUGAACGCUAGCGAUAGGCUUAACACAUGCAAGUCGAGGGGCAUCGGGCAGAAAGCUUGCUUUUUGUGCUGGCGACCGGCGGAUGGGUGCGUAACGCGUAUGCAACUUGCCCCACAGCGGGGGAUAACCCGGAGAAAUUCGGACUAAUACCGCAUACAUUCUAUUUUUUGCAUGAGAGAUAGAAGAAAGAUUUAUUACUGUGGGAUAGGCAUGCGUUCCAUUAGCUAGUAGGUGAGGUAACGGCUCACCUAGGCAACGAUGGAUAGGGGAACUGAGAGGUUUAACCCCCACACUGGUACUGAGACACGGACCAGACUCCUACGGGAGGCAGCAGUGAGGAAUAUUGGUCAAUGGGCGAGAGCCUGAACCAGCCAAGUCGCGUGAAGGAUGACGGCCCUAAGGGUUGUAAACUUCUUUAGUAGGGGAGUAAAGUUGGGAAUGCGUUCCCAUUUGCAAGUACCCUAAGAAUAAGUAUCGGCUAACUCCGUGCCAGCAGCCGCGGUAAUACGGAGGAUACGAGCGUUAUCCGGAUUUAUUGGGUUUAAAGGGUGCGUAGGUGGCCGAUUAAGUCAGCGGUGAAAAGCUCAGGCUCAACCUGAGUCUUGCCGUUGAAACUGGUUGGCUUGAGUGUGGAUGCUGUGUGCGGAACGCGUAGUGUAGCGGUGAAAUGCAUAGAUAUUACGCAGAACUCCAAUUGCGAAGGCAGCGCACAAAACCACAACUGACACUCAGAGCACGAGAGCGUGGGUAUCAAACAGG